rnacentral:rRNA from 1 species
AACGAACGCUGGCGGCAUGCCUAACACAUGCAAGUCGAACGAGACCUUCGGGUCUAGUGGCGCACGGGUGCGUAACGCGUGGGAACCUGCCCUUAGGAUCGGAAUAACUCCCCGAAAGGGGUGCUAAUAACGGAUAAUGUCUUCGGACUAAAGAUUUAUCGCCUUUGGGUGGGGCCGCGUUGGAUUAGCUAGUUGUUAGGGUAAAAGGCUACCAAGGCGACGCGGCAUAGCUGGUCUGAGAGGAUGAUCAGCCACACUGGGACUGAGACACGGCCGAGACUGCUACGGGAGGCAGCAGUGGGGAAUAUUGGAGAAUGGGCGAAGGGCUGAUCAAGCAGUGCCGCGUGAGUGAUGAAGGCCUUAGGGUUGUAAAGCUCUUUUACCCGGGAUGAUAAUGACAGUACCGGGAGAAUAAGCUCCGGCUAACUCCGUG